rnacentral:rRNA from 1 species
AUUGAACGCUAGCGGCAUGCUUAACACAUGCAAGUCGAACGAGUGGCGGACGGGUGAGUAAUAUAUCUGAACGUGCCCAGUAGUGGGGGAUAACUACUUGAAGGAGUGGCUAAUACCGCCUACUAUUGGAACGGCCGAGAUCGGAUUAGCUAGUUGGGGGGGUAAAGGCUCACCAAGGCAACGAUCCGUAGCUGGUUUGCUAGGAGGACCAGCCACACUGGAACUGAGACACGGCCCAGACUACUACGGGAGGCAGCAGUGGGGAAUUUUGGACAAUGGGGGGAACCCUGAUCCAGCCAUGCCGCGUGUAUGAGAAGGCCUUCGGGUUGUAAAGUACUUUUGGCGGAGAAGCGGUAUCUGCAGAAUAAGCACCGGCUAACUCCGUGCCAGCAGCCGCGGUAAUAC